CUCUCUGUUUAUAUAUACUAGUGUAGAAACCCACGCGUUGCGGUGGGUAGAGAGCAUUGCAAAUAGUCAAGAUAUUUUCAUACCUAAAAUUAAGGUAGCUGAAGAGAAGUAGGAGAAAAUAGAAAUAGCAACAAAACAAUCUUCUAAAAUUUCAAAGGAAAAUAACAUAUUGUACAUCAAGAAACUGUGAGACCCCAGAUAGUUCUAUAUAUGAGAUAUAAUAGGGCUAAACUCUUAACCCGGCUUAAGCAUUUUGGGUGGUGGCAAGGCCCAAGAGGUUAAGAGAGUUAAGCGUGCUAGGACGGGAGUAGUCCUAGGAUGGGUUACCCCUGGGAAGUCGG
rnacentral:lncRNA from 1 species